AAAACACUCAAUAAUACAAAUAGCAUUCCCUUUUCAAAAAUUUCAUAUCCUCUUCCAAAUACUUAACACUCUUUCCACCUACCCCAAACUUCCUUCCAACAAUUGGCAACAAUUGGCAGUUCAAAUAAAAAUGUCAACAUCCCUAGCUUUAAAUCUACGGCCUACUGCUUAUCCUUUCUUAAAUAUACCAACUCAACCGGAUUCAAUGGCUACCAUGAGUUUGAUUUAAAUACUGCUUCAUCCUAACAGUUGAAGAUGAAGUUUAUUCAUUUGGCGAAAAUUUCUACGAUGCAAUCUGAUUGGUCUCUUGUCAGAGUUAUAUUUUUAUUUUCAACGACCGUGAUUUCCUUGAUUAAAUUGGG